rnacentral:rRNA from 1 species
AUACGGAGGGUGCAAGCGUUGUUCGGAAUCACUGGGCGUAAAGGGCGCGCAGGCGGUUUGAUUAGUCAGAUGUGAAAGCCCACGGCUUAACCGUGGAAGUGCAUUUGAAACUGUCAGACUUGAGUAUCAGAGGGGAAAGUGGAAUUCCCGGUGUAGAGGUGAAAUUCGUAGAUAUCGGGAGGAAUACCGGUGGCGAAGGCGACUUUCUGGCUGAAUACUGACGCUGAGGCGCGAAAGCGUGGGGAGCAAACAGGAUUAGAAACCCGGGUAGUCC